GGGUCUCAGGGCUGCAGGUUGGGGGUCUCAGGGCUGCAGGUUGGGGGUCUCAGGGCUGCAGGUUGGGGUCUCAGGGCUGCAGGUUGGGGGUCUCAGGGUGCAGGUUGGGGGUCUCAGGCUGCAGGUUGGGGGUCUCAGGGCUGCAGGUUGGGGGUCUCAGGGUGCAGGUUGGGGGUCUCAGGCUGCAGGUUGGGGGUCUCAGGGCUGCAGGUUGGGGGUCUCAGGCUGCAGGUUGGGGGUCUCAGGGCUGCAGGUUGGGGGUCUCAGGGCUGCAGGUUG